rnacentral:rRNA from 1 species
AUGUUAUAUAAAUAAUCUUAUCUGGUAAAGCGAAUGAUUAGAGGCCUUAGGGUCGAAACGAUCUUAACCUAUUCUCAAACUUUAAAUGGGUAAGAACCUUAACUUUCUUGAUAUGAAGUUUAAGGUUAUGAUAUAAUGUGCCCAGUGGGCCACUUUUGGUAAGCAGAACUGGCGCUGUGGGAUGAACCAAACGUAAUGUUACGGUGCCCAAAUUAACAACUCAUGCAGAUACCAUGAAAGGCGUUGGUUGCUUAAAACAGCAGGACGGUGAUCAUGGAAGUCGAAAUCCGCUAAGGAGUGUGUAACAACUCACCUGCCGAAGCAACUAGCCCUUAAAAUGGAUGGCGCUUAAGUUGUAUACCUAUACAUUACCGCUAAAGUAGAUGAUUUAUAUUACUUGUAAUAUAAAUUUUGAAACUUUAGUGAGUAGGAAGGUACAAUGGUAUGCGUAGAAGUGUUUGGCGUAAGCCUGCAUGGAGCUGCCAUUGGUACAGAUCUUGGUGGUAGUAGCAAAUAAUCGAAUGAGACCUUGGAGGACUGAAGUGGAGAAGGGUUUCGUGUGAACAGUGGUUGAUCACGAGUUAGUCGGUCCUAAGUUCAAGGCGAAAGCCGAAAAUUUUCAAGUAAUAAAAUGACUAUAUAUUACAAAAAUGCCAAUUAAUAUACUUGAAUAAUUUUGAACGAAAGGGAAUACGGUUCCAAUUCCGUAACCUGUUGAGUAUCCGUUUGUUAUUAAAUAUGGGCCUCGUGCUCAUCCUGGCAACAGGAACGACCAUAAAGAAGCCGUCGAGAGAUAUCGGAAGAGUUUUCUUUUCUGUUUUAUAGCCGUACUACCAUGGAAGUCUUUCGCAGAGAGAUAUGGUAGAUGGGCUAGAAGAGCAUGACAUAUACUGUUGUGUCGAUAUUUUCUCCUCGGACCUUGAAAAUUUAUGGUGGGGAUACGCAAACUUCUCAACAGGCCGUACCAAUAUCCGCAGCUGGUCUCCAAGGUGAAGAGUCUCUAGUCGAUAGAAUAAUGUAGGUAAGGGAAGUCGGCAAAUUAGAUCCGUAACUUCGGGAUAAGGAUUGGCUCUGAAGAUUGAGAUAGUCGGGCUUGAUUGGGAAACAAUAACAUGGUUUAUGUGCUCGUUCUGGGUAAAUAGAGUUUCUAUCAUUUAUGUUAGUUGCUUGUUCCCCGGAUAGUUUAGUUACGUAGCCAAUUGUGGAACUUUCUUGCUAAAAUUUUUAAGAAUACUAGUUGGGUCAAACCAAUUAGUUCUUAUUAAUUAUAACGAUUAUCAAUUAACAAUCAAUUCAGAACUGGCACGGACUUGGGGAAUCCGACUGUCUAAUUAAAACAAAGCAUUGUGAUGGCCCUAGCGGGUGUUGACACAAUGUGAUUUCUGCCCAGUGCUCUGAAUGUCAAAGUGAAGAAAUUCAAGUAAGCGCGGGUCAACGGCGGGAGUAACUAUGACUCUCUUAAGGUAGCCAAAUGCCUCGUCAUCUAAUUAGUGACGCGCAUGAAUGGAUUAACGAGAUUCCUACUGUCCCUAUCUACUAUCUAGCGAAACCACAGCCAAGGGAACGGGCUUGGAAUAAUUAGCGGGGAAAGAAGACCCUUUUGAGCUUGACUCUAAUCUGGCAGUGUAAGGAGACAUAAGAGGUGUAGAAUAAGUGGGAGAUAUUAGACUUCGGUUUGGUAUCGACAAUGAAAUACCACUACUCUUAUUGUUUCCUUACUUACUUGAUUAAAUGGAACGUGUAUCAUUUCCUAGCCAUUAUACGGAUAUAUUUAUUAUAUCUUAUGGUAUUGGGUUUUGAUGCAAGCUUCUUGAUCAAAGUAUCACGAGUUUGUUAUAUAAUCGCAAACAAAUUCUUUAAUGAGACGAUGCAUUUAUGUAUUUUUGAUUUGAAAAUUUGGUAUAACUCCAAUUACUCAGGUAUGAUCCAAUUCAAGGACAUUGCCAGGUAGGGAGUUUGACUGGGGCGGUACAUCUCUCAAAUAAUAACGGAGGUGUCCCAAGGCCAGCUCAGUGCGGACAGAAACCACACAUAGAGCAAAAGGGCAAAUGCUGACUUGAUCUCGGUGUUCAGUACACACAGGGACAGCAAAAGCUCGGCCUAUCGAUCCUUUUGGUUUAAAGAGUUUUUAACAAGAGGUGUCAGAAAAGUUACCAUAGGGAUAACUGGCUUGUGGCGGCCAAGCGUUCAUAGCGACGUCGCUUUUUGAUCCUUCGAUGUCGGCUCUUCCUAUCAUUGUGAAGCAAAAUUCACCAAGCGUUGGAUUGUUCACCCAUGCAAGGGAACGUGAGCUGGGUUUAGACCGUCGUGAGACAGGUUAGUUUUACCCUACUAAUGACAAAACGUUGUUGCGACAGCAUUCCUGCGUAGUACGAGAGGAACCGCAGGUACGGACCAAUGGCACAAUACUUGUUCGAGCGAACAGUGGUAUGACGCUACGUCCGUUGGAUUAUGCCUGAACGCCUCUAAGGUCGUAUCCGUGCUGGACUGCAAUGAUAAAUAAGGGGCAAUUUGCAUUGUAUGGCUUCUAAACCAUUUAAAGUUUGU